AUUCCAGCUCCAAAAGCGUAUAUUAAAGUUGUUGCGGUUAAAAAGCUCGUAGUUGGAUUUCUGUUGAGGACUGCCGGUCCAUGUUUUGCAUGAGAAUCGGUUCGGCCUCGGCAUCCUCUCGGGGAACGCACUGCGCUUCAUUGCGUGGUGCGGGCGCCGAGACUUUUACUUUGAGGAAAUUAGAGUGUUCACGGCAGGCUGUCGCCCUGAAUACAUUAGCAUGGAAUAAUACUAUAGGACCUCGGUUCUAUUUUGUUGGUUUCUAGAGCUGAGGUAAUGAUUAAUAGGAACGGUUGGGGGCAUUCGUAUUAACGCGUCAGAGGUGGAAUUCUUGGAUUGCGUUACGACGGACUACUGCGAAAGCAUUUGCCAAGGAUGUUUUCAUUA
rnacentral:rRNA from 1 species